rnacentral:rRNA from 1 species
UACGUAGGGUGCAAGCGUUGUCCGGAAUUAUUGGGCGUAAAGAGCUCGUAGGCGGUCUGUCGCGUCUGCUGUGAAAACUCGGGGCUUAACCCCGGGCCUGCAGUGGGUACGGGCAGACUAGAGUGCGGUAGGGGAGACUGGAAUUCCUGGUGUAGCGGUGAAAUGCGCAGAUAUCAGGAGGAACACCGGUGGCGAAGGCAGGUCUCUGGGCAUUAACUGACGCUGAGGAGCGAAAGCAUGGGGAGCGAACAGG